UACGUAGGGGGCAAGCGUUGUCCGGAAUUAUUGGGCGUAAAGAGCGCGUAGGCGGUCCGAUAAGUCGGCUGUGAAAGUCAGGGGCUCAACCCUUGAAAGCCGGCCGAUACUGUCGGACUAGAGUCCGGAAGAGGCGAGUGGAAUUCCCGGUGUAGCGGUGAAAUGCGCAGAUAUCGGGAGGAACACCUAUGGCGAAGGCAGCUCGCUGGGACGUUACUGACGCUGAGACGCGAAAGCGUGGGGAGCAAACAGG
rnacentral:rRNA from 1 species